UCCAGAGAUGGAUUUGUGCCUUCGGGAACUGUGAGACAGGUGCUGCAUGGCUGUCGUCAGCUCGUGUUGUGAAAUGUUGGGUUAAGUCCCGCAACGAGCGCAACCCUUAUCCUUUGUUGCCAGCGGUCCGGCCGGGAACUCAAAGGAGACUGCCAGUGAUAAACUGGAGGAAGGUGGGGAUGACGUCAAGUCAUCAUGGCCCUUACGACCAGGGCUACACACGUGCUACAAUGGCGCAUACAAAGAGAAGCGACC
rnacentral:rRNA from 1 species